rnacentral:lncRNA from 1 species
CCUGGUGGGAGGUUCAGUUUUGGGAAGAAGAAAUCAUAGAGAGAUUUGAGGAAAGCAGCAACACAGAGGGAGAUGAUGAUGAAGAGCCAUGUCUCCAUUUUGGUCAUCAAAUUCUUGAUUCUCUCUUCUGGGUUCAUUGUGCUACAUUGAAAAUUCAUAGGGAGAAUUCUACCGAGGGUUUGUGGAUGGAUUCCUUGGACCGUUGGAUGUGCAAGAUGAGAUUUGGAUAAUGAGUUGAUUUUGGGUAUCAAAGUUUGACCCAAAUUCAUAGUAGGUCCUAUGAAUUAUUGAUCGUUUUGUAGGUAGACUUUUUAAAUCGACUCCAAAGACUUUGCAAUU